AAUAAAUAAAUAAAGUUGUUUCUUAACUAUACCUGUCUCUACCUGUGUAGCAGUCAGGGAUGCUUGGCCUCAUACAU
ensembl:snoRNA SNORA63 Small nucleolar RNA SNORA63